ACACAGGUCAAGUUUAAUUUCAGCAUUGUGGAUGAAUAUGUUACCCAAUCAUUGUAAUGAUGCACUCUCAAACCAGCAGUGGGGCUGAGGAUGGAAAGAAAACCUUGUUUAUAACUUGUCUGCUGAUGAUUGGAGUUUGUUAUGAAAGCGUUCUGAUGCAAUCAUCAGUGACACAAAGGUAAGGAAUGUUCGUACCCUUCUGCUAUCACCGUAACAGUAGCUGUGUGACAGGUGAGAGGUAUGGCAGAGAAGGGGCAGUAUUGCAGGAGGGAUCACUUUUCCUCAGGGCUAAAGCAAGAGCAUACUUAAUCAUACUAGUACUUUUCAGGUAAAAUAUACUGCUCUUUAGCUGAACAGUGCUCUCCAGGCUGCACAAUCUAGACUCCAGAAUCAAGAAACCACCAGUGCUGGCCUAACCCAGCUCGUUUUAUGAUAUGACUAUCAGUAGUCACAUGUGCUUCAGAAGCUCCUGUGUUCAGUGGAAAGGAGCCUCCUCAAGAACGUACAACGGUCUGAGCACCGCCCUGCAGCAGCCCCCGAACCAGCAAGAUGGGCUUCUUGCAAAAGGAGGCGGCACCGCUGGAUCAAGACUGCUGAGGAUGCAGAAUUGUAGUCCCUGGAGAAAGGAACGGCUGUCUUCCACCCAUAUAACUCAAAAAGUGGAAACUUCUCAGGUAAGGAUCAAAUAGUUGAACCUAAGCUGGUUUCUUCUGUACAUGUGGCAGACCAGCUCCCAUGAAACACAGUGAGGCUGACAAGGAAGACUCUUUUCCAUUGGGGAUUUCACAUACAAUAUGCAUGCAGAUCAGUGCUUUGACUGAAGUUCAUUUGAAAAUGAAAACAAAAGCCACAUAAGACACCAGAAUGCAGGUACUUUGACAACUGUCAGGUUGGAAAGUGCUUUAUAUGUAAGACAAGUCAUAGUGUUCAGUCUAUUUGGAAACUGAUGCCACUGCUCACUUUUACAGACAGUUCCUUUAGGUGAGAGUGACACUGAUAUCAUUCACAUAGACACUGCCAGAUUGAUGUCAGCGAGACAGCAAAACGUUCAGGUUCACUGGAAGGAAUAUAACACCUUGGCUAAAAUGAAAUCCUUGACCAUGUAGAAAGGGAGCGGGUCGGAAAGGUACCUACCCCUGCCAAAUGUUUACUCUUGCAUCCCUGCCUCGCAGAGGGUGUGUGCCAUGUCGAGUCAGAGCCAAGGACAGUAAAGAAAUUCUGUGUGAAUAACACCUGACUGUUGUGGGCAAAGAACUAUGAAAUUAAGCCAUAAACUACGUAUGUGGUCAUUUAAACUAAGUUUAAGGCUUUGUAUAUCACAGGGUUAUAAAGCAAUGCUGGGGAGAGGUUAUAUUUUACAAAAAUAUUGAUGUUUACGCUAGAUUAAUGAUUACUUGCCUGUAGAGAGGAACAGCGAAUGGAAUAUCUAUCCAAGGUCAGGCUGUGUCUGAGCUGCAGACAC
rnacentral:lncRNA from 1 species